AUACCCUGGUAGUCCACGCUGUAAACGAUGUCGACUUGGAGGUUGUUCCCUUGAGGAGUGGCUUCCGGAGCUAACGCGUUAAGUCGACCGCCUGGGGAGUACGGCCGCAAGGUUAAAACUCAAAUGAAUUGACGGGGGCCCGCACAAGCGGUGGAGCAUGUGGUUUAAUUCGAUGCAACGCGAAGAACCUUACCUACUCUUGACAUCCAGAGAACUUAGCAGAGAUGCUUUGGUGCCUUCGGGAACUCUGAGACAGGUGCUGCAUGGCUGUCGUCAGCUCGUGUUGUGAAAUGUUGGGUUAAGUCCCGCAACGAGCGCAACCCUUAUCCUUUGUUGCCAGCGGUUCGGCCGGGAACUCAAAGGAGACUGCCAGUGAUAAACUGGAGGAAGGUGGGGAUGACGUCAAGUCAUCAUGGCCCUUACGAGUAGGGCUACACACGUGCUACAAUGGCAUAUACAAAGAGAAGCGACCUCGCGAGAGCAAGCGGACCUCAUAAAGUAUGUCGUAGUCCGGAUUGGAGUCUGCAACUCGACUCCAUGAAGUCGGAAUCGCUAGUAAUCGUAGAUCAGAAUGCUACGGUGAAUACGUUCCCGGGCCUUGUACACACCGCCCGUCACACCAUGGGAGUGGGUUGCAAAAGAAGUAGGUAGCUUAACCUUC
rnacentral:rRNA from 1 species